AUUGAACGCUGGCGGCAUGCCUUACACAUGCAAGUCGAACGGUAACAGGUCUUCGGAUGCUGACGAGUGGCGAACGGGUGAGUAAUACAUCGGAACGUGCCUAGUAGUGGGGGAUAACUUCUCGAAAGAGUGGCUAAUACCGCAUGAGAUCUACGGAUGAAAGCAGGGGAUCGCAAGACCUUGUGCUACUAGAGCGGCCGAUGGCAGAUUAGGUAGUUGGUGGGAUAAAAGCUUACCAAGCCGACGAUCUGUAGCUGGUCUGAGAGGACGAUCAGCCACACUGGGACUGAGACACGGCCCAGACUCCUACGGGAGGCAGCAGUGGGGAAUUUUGGACAAUGGGCGCAAGCCUGAACCAGCAAUGCCGCGUGCAGGAUGAAGGCCUUCGGGUUGUAAACUGCUUUUGUACGGAACGAAAAGCCCUGGGUUAAUACCCUGGGGUCAUGACGGUACCGUAAGAAUAAGCACCGGCUAACUACGUGCCAGCAGCCGCGGUAAAAC
rnacentral:rRNA from 1 species